AUGCAGUCGAGCGGUAGCACAGAGAGCUUGCUCUCGGGUGACGAGCGGCGGACGGGUGAGUAAUGUCUGGGAAACUGCCUGAUGGAGGGGGAUAACUACUGGAAACGGUAGCUAAUACCGCAUAACGUCGCAGGACAAAGAGGGGGACCUUCGGGCCUCUUGCCAUCAGAUGUGCCCAGAUGGGAUUAGCUAGUAGGUGGGGUAAUGGCUCACCUAGGCGACGAUCCCUAGCUGGUCUGAGAGGAUGACCAGCCACACUGGAACUGAGACACGGUCCACACUCCUACGGGAGGCAGCAGUGGGGAAUAUUGCACAAUGGGCGCAAGCCUGAUGCAGCCAUGCCGCGUGUAUGAAGAAGGCCUUCGGGUUGUAAAGUACUUUCAGCGAGGAGGAAGGCAUUGUGGUUAAUAACCGCAGUGAUUGACGUUACUCGCAGAAGAAGCACCGGCUAACUCCGUGCCAGCAGCCGCGGUAAUACGGAGGGUGCAAGCGUUAAUCGGAAUUACUGGGCGUAAAGCGCACGCAGGCGGUCUGUCAAGUCGGAUGUGAAAUCCCCGGGCUCAACCUGGGAACUGCAUUCAAACUGGCAGGCUAGAGUCUUGUAGAGGGGGGUAGAAUUCCAGGUGUAGCGGUGAAAUGCGUAAGAUCUGGAGGAAUACCGGUGGCGAAGGCGGCCCCCUGGACAAAGACUGACGCUCAGGUGCGAAAGCGUGGGGAGCAAACAGGAUUAAUACCCUGGUAGUCCACGCCGUCGAUGUCUACUUGGAGGUUGUUCCCUUGAGGAGUGGCUUCCGGAGCUAACGCGUUAAGUCGACCGCCUGGGGAGUACGGCCGCAAGGUUAAAACUCAAUGAAUUGACGGGGGCCCGCACAAGCGGUGGAGCAUGUGGUUUUAUUCGAUGCAACGCGAAGAACCUCUACCUACUCUUGACAUCCAGAACUUCAAGAUGCUUUGGUCCUUCGGAACUCUGAACAGGUGCUGAUGGCUGUCGUCAGCUCGUGGUGAAAUGUGGUUUAUCCCGCACAGCGCACUCUAUUUUCGGUCGGCCGGA
rnacentral:rRNA from 1 species